UGUAAUUAAAAUCAAAUUCUCAUGUAGAUUUUGUAUUUAAAAUUACAUAUUUUAAAUACUGAUUCUAUAAUGAACAAAUGCAAGAAGUUCUCAAUUUAUGUUUUCAAAUAUAGAGUAUCAAAAAAAUUCAAAAUAUGAAUAAUUAAUUGCCAUAAAUAAUUACUAAAUAUUUAUAAAAAUGCAUUUAAAAUCAUGUAAAUAUAGCAUGACCAGAUGACUAGAAACAAAAAAGAGGAUAUCAUGCAGUAAAAAAGAAGGACAUGCAGGGGAAAAAGGAGGAUACAAAAAAAAUAACUACAGGAUGGUUAUAAUUGGACUGACCGUGUUCGGGCCUGUCUGGCACCUGUUCUGGAUGCUGUGUGCUGUUGAAAUUUGUUAUGAAUAUUAUGCAGACCCCUUCUGCAUGGUCAAGUUUCAAUGGCAUAUGGCAUCCAGAAUGGGAGCUAGACGGACCUGGAUGGUCAGUUUAAUUUAUAACCACCCUGUAUUUUCUGCUUAUAACAAAAUAACAGUAUACAUUUAAUUAAUUUCAG
rnacentral:lncRNA from 1 species